rnacentral:rRNA from 1 species
AGUGAACGCUGGCGGUAGGCCUAACACAUGCAAGUCGAACGGCAGCACAGUAAGAGCUUGCUCUUACGGGUGGCGAGUGGCGGACGGGUGAGGAAUACAUCGGAAUCUACUUUUUCGUGGGGGAUAACGUAGGGAAACUUACGCUAAUACCGCAUACGACCUACGGGUGAAAGCAGGGGAUCUUCGGACCUUGCGCGAGUGAAUGAGCCGAUGUCGGAUUAGCGAGUUGGCGGGGUAAAGGCCCACCAAGGCGACGAUCCGUAGCUGGUCUGAGAGGAUGAUCAGCCACACUGGAACUGAGACACGGUCCAGACUCCUACGGGAGGCAGCAGUGGGGAAUAUUGGACACUGGGCGCAAGCCUGAUCCAGCCAUACCGCGUGGGUGAAGAAGGCCUUCGGGUUGUAAAGCCCUUUUGUUGGGAAAGAAAAGCAGCAGGUUAAUCCCCCGCUGUUCUGACGGUACCCAAAGAAUAAGCACCGGCUAACUUCGUG